GGUGGGCUAGUCCGCACGAGCGCACCCUUGUCGUUAGUUGCCAGCAUUUAAUUGGGGACUCUAGCGAGACCGCCGGUGAUAAACCGGAGGAAAGUGUGGAUGACAUCAAGUCAUCAUGCCCCUUACAUCCUGGGCUACACACGUACUACAAUGCUACGGACAAAGGGCAGCAAACUCGCGAGAGCUAGCAAAUCCCAUAAACCGUGGCUCAUUUCACAUCGUAGGCUGCAACUCGCCUACGUGAAAGAGGAAUCGCUAGUAAUCGCAGGUCACCAUACUGCGGUGAAUACGUUCCCGGGCCUUGUACACACCGCCCGUGGGGCGGGGGCGGCGGGCCGGGCGCGGGGCGCGGCGGGGG
rnacentral:rRNA from 1 species